UGCAGAAUAGCAUCACGUCCUGGAAUGUACACUGCAGCUUAAGUCCCGUAGUAAAAAGGAAGCAUAGCUUUCCUCAAUUGCAGAGUCAUUGCAAAAAAUGCUUGCUCCGAAUGGGGGCCUGACAAAUGCUGUUCCAUUGUUUGAAACUGCGGCACAAAUUGGUUCAUUUAUCUGCUCCAGUAGCAAGUAGUGGUGGAACCAGCUAGGUAGCACUAGAUGCCUUGGACUACCCUAAAUUUUGAGAUUUUCUCUUUCACCUUUGCAGAAUCACUGGUACUUCGCCGUGUUCUACUCUUAAUAAUUAGUGAUCCUGUUUCAUUGAUAUGAGCAUUUUAGCAUGAGGAGGUAUUGUAUUUAGUUAUGAAUUCUUGGUUUUCGUUCGAUUUCACUGAUUUGUCAGGAUAAGCGGUUUAGCUGUUGGAUUAUCCUUCUAUGCUAGAGCUUGUUAAUAUCGUCUGUGCAAUUUGCAUUCCUUUUGCUACCACAUCAAAGCAAUGUGUUGACUUCCUCCCUGUAACAACUAAGCAACAAGAAAGACUUUCUUUCAGGCUUGAAGGAAUAUUGACAGACUUAGGCCUCUAAAAGUAUUCAUUUAUUUGACAUAGUAUUAGCUACCAGAGAAGUGGAAAACUGGAAAUCCAUAUCCACUUGCUACAACAACACAGCUACCAGAAAACUGGAAAUCCAUACCCACAUGCUGCACCAACACCUGCAGUUAACACAAGUUUGUUAUGUUUACAAUGCUGUUCAAUUGCCAUUCAAAUUAAACCCACAUAAUAUGGGCAGUUGGGACAAAUUUACUUCGAGUUCAUGUUAUUCUCACAGCAACAAUGCUUCCAGUAAAGCAAGGCUAACAGCUAAGGAGCAGUUAGACCCCUUAGCGCUGAUUAAAGAUGAAGUCUCUGAAGUAACAGAUCGAUUGCGUUCAAUGGUGGUUGCUGAGCAACAGGUGCCUGAACUGACAUCAGCAGCUGGAUACUUCUUCAGCGCUGGAGCUGAAGGGAAAAGAACUUGUCCUACCGUAAGACCAGACUUCAUAAUGUGUUUCUUUUUUCCUUAUCAUUAUACCAUAGAUACCUACUGUUUUUUAGUACGCACGAGUAUAUGUAACCUACUCAUUCAGUUUCCUCAUUGUAAGUUCCUGAUCAUUAUAUUUCAGGUUCUACUAUUGAUGGCUUCAGCUAUAAGCAUGAAAAUUUCUGAUGGCUUAGAGAAUAGAUCUCGUGCAAGGCAUAUGCGUGUUGCUGAGAUAACUGAAAUGAUUCAUAUAUCAAGCCUUAUUCAUGAUGAUGUUUUGGAUGAUGCUGAUACUAGACGUGGCAUGGAUUCAUUGAACUUCACAGUGGGGAAGAAGCUUGCAGUGUUGGCUGGUGAUUUUCUACUUUUCAGGGCAUUUUCUGCUGCUGUAUCUCUUGACAAUACUGAGGUUGUAUCAUUACUAGCAACUGCUGUAAAUAAUCUUGUUACUGGUGAGCUUAUGCAGAUGUCAAUAACUCCAGCACAGCGCUGCAGCAUGGACUAUUAUUUGCAGAAGACAUACUACAAGACAGCUGCACUGAUUUCAAACAGCUGCAAAGCUAUUGCUGUCAUCACUGGGCAAACGGCAGAAAUACAAGCUCUUGCUUAUCAGUAUGGCAGACAUUUGGCACAACAGCUUCACUAGGCAAAGCCUCCUUGUCUGAUAUCCAUCAAGGAAUUGUGACAGCUCCCAUACUGUUUGCGAUGGAAGAGUUCCCCGAACUGUGUGAGAUUGUUGAGCAGGGAUUCGAUGACCCUUCAAAUGUUGAGAUUGCCCUCAAAUACCUUUCGAAAAGUCAGGGAAUCGAGAAGACAAGGUUACUUGCUGCUGAACAUGCAAAAUUGGCAGCGGACGCUAUUGAUGGUCUUCCUGAGAGUGAGGACCAAGUCAUCCUUAACUCGAGGCAAGCGCUCAAAGAUCUUACUCAAAAGUUCAUGAGAAGAACAAAGUGAACUGGUUAAACAUGCAAAGUGAAUUGGUGAAGCAGAAAUUGUAAAAUUGGUUAAACAUGCCAGCAGGCAGUAGAACUAUGCAUCGUGCAUGUCUUUGUUGCUGAACAGUUUGUUACGGUGACUGAUGAAUUUCAGGAGGUUUGGAACAAGAGCUUUACCUCUCUUUUCCCUCCAUUUUUCUCAGCAGUAAAAUUGUCCAACCUUGAUGAAACCAUUCAUGUAUAUCUGCAGAUUGCGUGA